UCGCCAGACUCCUACGGGAGGCAGCAGUGGGGAAUAUUGGGCAAUGGGCGCAAGCCUGACCCAGCAACGCCGCGUGAAGGAAGAAGGCUUUCGGGUUGUAAACUUCUUUUAUGAGGGACGAAACAAAUGACGGUACCUCAUGAAUAAGCCGCGGCUAACUACGUGCCAGCAGCCGCGGUAAUACGUAGGUGGCAAGCGUUAUCCGGAUUUACUGGGUGUAAAGGGAGCGUAGGCGGCAGGGCAAGCCUGAUGUGAAAGCCCGGGGCUCAACCCCGGGACUGCAUUGGGAACUGCCCCGCUCGAGUGCCGGAGGGGCAGGCGGAAUUCCUAGUGUAGCGGUGAAAUGCGUAGAUAUUAGGAGGAACACCAGUGGCGAAGGCGGCCUGCUGGACGGUGUACUGACGCUGAGGCUCGAAAGCGUGGGGAGCAAACAGGAUUAGAUACCCUAGUA
rnacentral:rRNA from 1 species